CGUUUGACCUUGGAUCAGGUAGGGAUACCCGCUGAACUUAAGCAUAUCAAUAAGCGGAGGAAAAGAAACCAACAGGGAUUGCCCUAGUAACGGCGAGUGAAGCGGCAACAGCUCAAAUUUGAAAUCUGGCUCUUUUAGAGUCCGAGUUGUAAUUUGCAGAGGGCGCUUUGGCUUUGGCAGCGGUCCAAGUUCCUUGGAACAGGACGUCACAGAGGGUGAGAAUCCCGUACGUGGUCGCUAGCUAUUGCCGUGUAAAGCCCCUUCGACGAGUCGAGUUGUUUGGGAAUGCAGCUCUAAAUGGGAGGUAAAUUUCUUCUAAAGCUAAAUAUUGGCCAGAGACCGAUAGCGCACAAGUAGAGUGAUCGAAAGAUGAAAAGCACUUUGGAAAGAGAGUCAAACAGCACGUGAAAUUGUUGAAAGGGAAGCGCUUGCAGCCAGACUUGCUUGCAGUUGCUCAUCCGGGCUUUUGCCCGGUGCACUCUUCUGCAGGCAGGCCAGCAUCAGUUUGGGCGGUGGGAUAAAGGUCUCUGACACGUUCCUUCCUUCGGGUUGGCCAUAUAGGGGAGACGUCAUACCACCAGCCUGGACUGAGGUCCGCGCAUCUGCUAGGAUGCUGGCGUAAUAGCUGUAAGCGGCCCGUCUUGAAACACGGACCAAGGAGUCUAACAUCUAUGCGAGUGUUUGGGUGUCAAGCCCGAGCGCGUAAUGAAAGUGAACGGAGGUGGGAACCCGCAAGGGUGCACCAUCGACCGAUCCUGAAGUUUACGGAAGGAUUUGAGUAAGAGCAUGGCUGUUGGGACCCGAAAGAUGGUGAACUAUGCUUGAAUAGGGUGAAGCCAGAGGAAACUCUGGUGGAGGCUCGCAGCGGUUCUGACGUGCAAAUCGAUCGUCAAUUUUGGGCAUAGGGGCGAAAGACUAAUCGAACUAUCUAGUAGCUGG
rnacentral:rRNA from 1 species